GUGAAGUUCAUCGUUAACUUGGCAGAGUCGUUCCGUUGAGUCCGUAGAGAUCAGAAUCAAUUUGUUUGGCCGAGAGAGAGAGAGUGAAGGAGAAGAAGAUGGCUGAGACUGUGCAUUCUCCGAUCGUGACUUUUGCAUCGAUGCUAUCGCUUCUUGCUCUUUGUCCACCUUUCGUCAUUCUCCUAUAAGAGACACUGAUACAUUGUAUGAGCUUCCUUGUUCUUUGUCUGAGAUUUUUCAUUCCUCUGGAUUCUUGUGGGAGAAUGGAGUUAAAGGGCUCAUCAACAUAUGGCCAAGACCCACUGCCAUCGCUUGGAAGAUCAUCUUUUGCUAUGGAGCAUUUGAGGCUGCUCUCCAGCUUCUUCUUCCUGGUAAAAGAGUUGAAGGCCCAGUUUCUCCGACGGGGAACCGACCAGUUUACAAGGACAAUGGUAUGGCUGCCUAUUUUGUGACACUAGCCACCUAUCUUGGUCUUUGGUGGUUCGGGAUAUUCAACCCUGCAAUUGUCUACGAUCACUAGGGUGAAAUAUUUUCGGCACUGAUAUUCGGAAGCUUCAUAUUUUGUGUUCUGUUAUACCUCAAACUAAGGUCAUGUUGCACCUUCAUCAAGUGAUUCUGGUUCAUGUGGUAACACCUUAUUAUCGACUUCUACUGGGUCUGGGGCAUGGAGUUAUACCCUCGAAUUGGUAAGAACUUUGACAUCAAGGUUUUUACUAAUUGCAGAUUUGGUAUGAUGUCCUGGGCUGUUCUUGCCGUCACCUACUGCAUUAAGCAGUAUGAAAUAAAUGGGAGAGUAUCUGAUUCAAUGCUUGUGAACACCAUUCUGAUGCUGGUGUAUGUCACGAAAUUUUUCGGGUGGGAAGCUGGUUACUGGAACAGCAUGGACAUCGCACAUGACCGAGCGGGAUUCUACAUUUGCUGGGGCUGUCUAGUGUAGGUGCCUUCUAUUUAUACAUCUCCAGGCAUGUACCUUGUGAACCACCCAGUCAAACUUGGAACUCAGGGCCAGUUUGGUCGAGGGAAGCGAACUGAGGACGAACCGGCGGUAAGGGAAACCGGGUCGGACCUUUCACUAAGCCCCAUCAAAGAUUGUGGCGACAUAUAAGACAACAGCUAGUGAAACUAAAACCAGUCUUCUCUUAACCUCUGGAUGGUGGGGAUUGGCUUGACAUUUCCAUUAUGUUCCUGAGAUCUUAAGUUCUUUCUUCUGGACCGUACCUACUCUCUUUAGUAACUUCUUGCCAUACUUCUACGUCAUAUACCUCACGAUUCUUCUCUUUGAUCGAGCCAAGAGAGACGAUGACCGAUGCUGAUCAAAGUAUGGGAAAUAUUGGAAGUUGUACUGCGAAAAAGUGCGAUACAGGAUUGUUCCUGGUAUUUAUUGAUAGUCUCUGUUGUCUUCUCUGUUUUUGUUUCGUUCAUUCAAACGUUAGAAUCGUCCAAAGACCCAAAAAUUAUAUAUUUUUUGCUGAUUUUGUAAGCCACUUGAGAAUUUCUAGCCAUGGGUUUCUCUA